AGUGAACGCUGGCGGUAGGCCUAACACAUGCAAAUCGAACGGCAGCACAGUAAGAGCUUGCUCUUACGGGUGGCGAGUGGCGGACGGGUGAGGAAUACAUCGGAAUCUACUUUUUCGUGGGGGAUAACGUAGGGAAACUUACGCUAAUACCGCAUACGACCUACGGGUGAAAGCAGGGGAUCUUCGGACCUUGCGCGAUUGAAUGAGCCGAUGUCGGAUUAGCUAGUUGGCGGGGUAAAGGCCCACCAAGGCGACGAUCCGUAGCUGGUCUGAGAGGAUGAUCAGCCACACUGGAACUGAGACGCGGUCCAGACUCCUACGGGAGGCAGCAGUGGGGAAUAUUGGACAAUGGGCGCAAGCCUGAUCCAGCCAUACCGCGUGGGUGAAGAAGGCCUUCGGGUUGUAAAGCCCUUUUGUUGGGAAAGAAAAGCAGCAGGUUAAUACCCCGCUGUUCUGACGGUACCCAAAGAAUAAGCACCGGCUAACUUCGUG
rnacentral:rRNA from 1 species